rnacentral:tRNA from 1 species
GGGUCAGUAGCUCAGUUGGUAGAGCAGGAGGCUCUUAACCUCUUGGUCGUGGGUUCGAGUCCCGCCUGACCCACCA